rnacentral:rRNA from 1 species
UACAGAGGGUGCAAACGUUGUUCGGAAUUACUGGGCAUAAAGCGCGCGUAGGCGGUUUUGUAAGUGUGAAGUGAAAUCCCACGGCUCACCCGUGGAACUGCUUUGCAUACUGCAGAACUCGAGGUCGGUAGGGGAGAGCAGAACUCCUGGUGGAGCGGUGAAAUGCGUAGAUAUCAGGAGGAAUACCGGUGGCGAAGGCGGCUCUCUGGUCCGAUUCUGACGCUGAGGUGCGAAAGCCAGGGUAGCGAAC